UAAGCUUGCUCUCUGGGUGACGAGCGGCGGACAGCUGAAUCACGUUGGGAAUGGACCAAGAAGUUUGGGAUUGAACCGGAUACCGCGCCCCUACUCCGGAUAAUAGUUUGGAGGGGCGGGCCUUGCCCUAUCCCAUCACCUCCGGUCACAUUUGCUUGUUGGUGAGGUAACGGCUCACCAAGGCGACAAUCCAUAACUGCCCAGACAUGAAGAAUACUUACAGGGGAAGUGAGGGUGAUCGGCACUCCCGCGGCAGACACCAGGGCGAAACUUGAAGGGGGGCAAAAGCCUGAUAUAUCCAUGCCUGUGUGUAGUCUGAUGGUCCAACUGUGCGUGCUUUAAGUUGGGAUUAAGGUCAUAAACCGGUGUUGUAGGGGUAUAACAUUUCCGACAGACUGAGGCUGGCUCCUUCUGGGCCAAUCUCCGCGGAAACCCCGACGGAGUAGGCGUCAUCAGAAGUACUGAUCCUAACGUCGCCUACGUUGUUUGGUUUUUUGUGUGAAAUCCCCGGGCUCGUCUGUUCUCUGCUCUCUUUUAAACACCCAAGCCAUGGUAGAGGAGGUGCGUAUAUAAUGUGAAUGAGUGAGAUGAGUAAAGAUGAAAGUGAAAUUCCUGGUUAACGAGCCACCUGCACAGAUAUUGAGAAUGAAGUGCAAUGGCUAAGGAGAAUUUUGAUUAUAUACACUGGUACUCACGCGUUAAAGAUUGAACUAAACCUGGAUGCCUUACCUCGUUUGCACCGCCGGGGGGGCAUGGGGUGGACCGCUUAAAGAGUAAGACAGCAAGGGGGGGACUCAAACCAAUGGAGGGGGGCCCGCGCAAUAUUGUGGAGCAAGUGGAAAAUUCGUAGCAACGCGAAGAACCUUUCCAGACCCUGACAUCCAAGAACUUUCCCUUGAGGGACAGAGCCUUAGGGAACAUUGAAACAGGUGUCGCAUGGGUUUUGUCAAAGUUGGGUUAAAUCCCCCGACUAAGGGAACCCCUUAUCUUACCUUCCUCCUUUGUGUUGGGCACUAUAAAGUGACUCUCUAAGGCAAACACCGGGAAAAAGGGGAGGAAGGUGGAUAUUCAUUCCCCUUUCACGCCCGUUACACAUGGGCUACACACGAGGGUCAAUGGUCGGUACAGAGGGGUGACAAGCAGCGAAUAUCAUAUAAUCCCUCAAAACCGAUUGUAGUCCGGAUCGCAAUCUGCAACUGGAGCGCGAGAAGUCGGAAUUUGUAGUUAUCUCGAAUCAGAAAGUAGCAGUGAAUACGUU
rnacentral:rRNA from 1 species